UUAGGCGGACGGGUGAGUAACGCGUGGAAACCCUGCCGUAUACUGGGGGAGUAACACUUAGAAAUAGGUGCUAAUACCGCAUAAGCGCACAGCUUCGCAUGAAGCGGUGUGAAAAACUCUGGUGGUAUACGAUGGUUCCGCGUCUGAUUAGCUAGUUGGUGGGGUAAUGGCCUACCAAGGCAACGAUCAGUAGCCGGCCUGAGAGGGUGAACGGCCACAUUGGGACUGAGACACGGCCCAAACUCCUACGGAAGGCAGCAG
rnacentral:rRNA from 1 species